AAAAUUUAAGGAUUUCAGUGAAGGCGUUGGCGAUUUCUACCUGUUUUGCUAAAGAAGACUCCAAAUCUAAAGACACUCGUCAUCGAGGGUCCAUUGCACUAUGAUGAUGAUGAAGAAGAAGAAGAACCUGAAUACUAUUGCGAGUGUUCAUCGGGAUGUAAUUGUCUAUUGUCAUGUCCUGUAGAAGUCCUGGAGAUCUCCAAGUACAGUGGAACUACCAAAGAUCUGGAGAGAGUGAAGUAUUUCUUAGGGAAGCUGUCAUGUCUUGAGCAUGUGAAACUUGGUGUUCUGGCAAGAGGCGGCGACAAGGAAAAAUUGAGAAUCACCACUGAUCUGCUAAUGCUUCCUAGAGCUUCGGUCAAUUGCAAGAUUCAGAUCAAGUUUUCUAAAAACUACUACUAACUCAUCCACGAGGAACAAACUUUGGUCCUCCUAGUUGCAUAAGUCUGCCUGUAAACACUCUUGCUGGUUUAUUACUUUGUUGGAGUUUACUUGUUAUCUUAGUCUGAUCUUCUUUCUAAGACUUGUUUUGAUUUUGCUUUAA